GCGCUGCCCUCUGCGUAUUUCCUUCCCCACCGUGGGACUCUAACUAAGUCAAUUUUCCCACCCUGAAAGCGGCAAGUACCUAUUGUACUACUCACCAAGAAAAUCUACGGGAAUAGUUCUCAACAUCUUCCAGUUAAUUACAAGCAAAGUAACGCUCUGAAUAAGGCGCUGCCCUCUGCGUAUUUCCUUCCCCACCGUGGGACUCUAACUAAGUCAAUUUUCCCGCCCUGAAAGCGGCAAGUACCUAUUGUACUACUCACCAAGAAAAUCUACGGGAAUAGUUCUCAACAUCUUCCAGUUAAUUACAAGCAAAGUAACGCUCUGAAUAAGGCGCUGCCCUCUGCGUAUUUCCUUCCCCACCGUGGGACUCUAACUAAGUCAAUUUUCC